AUAGGAAGUUCCACUUAUACUUUACUGUCCCUGGGGCUGGAAAGGGCAAGAGUGAUCUCCCACCAGGGCUCCCAGCAAUGGCGCCAUCAGCCCCCCCACCCCGAGCCUGGGACGUUACUACAGCUGGAGUUCGUUUGCAUCGGGAUUGCAGCUCCCUUCGGGAGCUAAGUCUGCAUUAUGCAAAUGACUUGUGCCAGGACUUUCCAGAAAUUACCAAGCCACGGGGAUUUGCCUGACUGCUUCACCCUUUCCAUCCAGCUCCAGACUGAAAACAGAUACCGUUGGUCAAUGCACAGUUUCAGGACUUGACAAGCCAGAGAUUCUGAUGAAUCCGCAUCACGGCACUGAACUUUUCCAGAAUAAUGUACCGCGUUUCUGACUGAGAGAGGAAACAAAACAAGAUUCGGAAGGCUCCGAAUCUUGACGGCAACUUUGACAUUCAAGACCCCUGAGAAACAGCGUCUGCGCGUGCCAUGUUGCCCCUCCGCGGACACACCCCUCGGACGUAGGUCAGUUGAAGGACGAAGUUUCGUGGAGCCAACAGAAGUACG